rnacentral:rRNA from 1 species
GAGUUUGAUCCUGGCUCAGGACGAACGCUGGCGGCGUGCCUAAUACAUGCAAGUCGAGCGGAUCUUCAUUAGCUUGCUUUUGAAGAUCAGCGGCGGACGGGUGAGUAACACGUGGGCAACCUGCCUGUAAGACUGGGAUAACUUCGGGAAGCCGGAGCUAAUACCGGAUGAUCCUUUUCCUCUCAUGAGGAAAAGCUGAAAGACGGUUUCGGCUGUCACUUACAGAUGGGCCCGCGGCGCAUUAGCUAGUUGGUGAGGUAACGGCUCACCAAGGCGACGAUGCGUAGCCGACUGAGAGGGUGAUCGGCCACACUGGGACUGAGACACGGCCCAGACUCCUACGGGAGGCAGCAGUAGGGAAUCUUCCGCAAUGGACGAAAGUCUGACGGAGCAACGCCGCGUGAGCGAUGAAGGCC